CGUCCCCCAGGAGAAUUUUUCACUCCACGGCAGAGCAAGGAAGUGACCUCAGAGCGGAAAGGACACCCCGUGGGCAGAGAGAGGUAACUCUGGCUUAGGGUCCAAAGCUAUAACUUUACCCCGGGGGCCCUGGAAACUGCAACCCUCCUCAGCCUCCUGCCAGCCACACGUGGACCACCAGACAUCCCUGUGGCAGAAAGAAUGAUGGCCCCCAAAGACGCCCAGGAACCUGUGAACAUAUUACUUUACACGACACUCAAGGGCUGAUGUGAUUAAGUUAAGGCUCUUCAGACGCGAUCUUUACUCCGGAGCAUCUCCAUGGGCCUAAUGCCAUCGCAAGGGUCCUUCUCAGAGGAAAGCAGAAGGGCCAGAGUCAGCAGGAAGCCGGCGGAAGCAGGGAGCAGAGGAACCAAAAAGCGCAUCACAGCCUCUGCGCCCGGAAGAUUCUCCCCGGGCACUUCCGGAGAGAACCAGCCCCGCCCAGCACUUUCAUUUCAGCCCCUCCAGACUCGUUGUGGACCUCUGACCUCCAGAAUUGUACGGGAAUAAGUUUGUGUUGCUCUAAACCCCUACGUUUGCGGACGUUUGUCACAGCAGCAACGGGACAGUAGAGGCACCGCGAAGAUCAGCUAGGAACCGUACCACUGCAUAUGAAUUAUCCCAGCCAGCGUGGAAGCUUAUCAUGAGACAAGCCCGCCCAGGUAUGGCUGGUUCUCUGCAGUGGGGUGUCGUGGAAAGAGCCAUCUACAAGUUGCAUCUUUGUAACCCGAGUUUUAUCUGCACGACUCAGAGAAGACAGCUAAAGGAACGCUUUGGUGUGCAGCGAGGAUGGAAAAGCACAUGAAUUAACACCCGGGUGAGCAAGAGCCAGGCACAGAGUCUGCUGGUGUGGAACAUACGCCGGGCGGAGAAAGCACCUUGGCCUGGGAACCAAGACACCUGGACUCGUGUCCCACCUCUGACACUGACUGAGCCCUCUCUGGGCCUCUGCCAAAUAAAAGGGCAGCACGAUCAAUUUCUAGGUCUUAGUUCCCACUCUGACGUUAUAGGACUCUAUGCAUAUCAUGUACCCCAAAUGGCCCUCAUCCACACGAGAUGUAUGACCCUGCCUGAGGCAGUUUGCACGGAACAGAAAUCAAAACCGUAAGCCACAGAGCGGAAGCUCCAAUGGUAGGAUUUCCAGUGUUAUCGUUAUGGGAAGAAUGGGGACAAUGUUGAGGACUGAGGGCGAGGUCUGCCAGGUCACAGGUGGUGCUUGAUCUACACAAGGUCAAGGUGUUCAAUCUGGGCCCAUGGGUACCAGCAAGUCCCCGGCACCCGGCUUGGGCUCCAGGUAUAAACUUAGGGGGUCUGUGGGCUCACUGUGGGCUGACUAUUUAGUUUUAAUGCCCAAAACCAAUUUUAAAUAAAAUAAAGGAACCCCCUAAAUAUUCUAGAUGGGGCUUUCUUUUUUUUAGAGGGACAUUUCAAGACUAGUUUCACACAGGUUUAGCCGAAAGGGAAAUUAAACUCUACAUUUAAAUGGGAGAUUACGCACAAAGGAAUCCAUUACUUUCAAUAUUUCUCAGCAGGAGGGCUCAGAGUUAUUUAAAUAAGUUUAGAUAUUAAACCUAAAGUAGCCAUUAAAGCAAUGUGGAUUUGUUUGUCUGUUUUUUUUUUCCCCCAGAAAUCUUUUUUUCCAGCUGACUGAAAAAAUCCAUUGCUUAACCAAUGGAGGAUAUUUUAAUGCAUUAAAAAAAAAUCCAGGGACUUUUUAAUAUAGCACUUCCUUUGAAUUUUUAAGUAGCAUCUUACAGUAAGUGUCAUCCUUUGGACAGAUUAACCAAAGCGCAUUCCCUUCCCCGCCCCCACCCUGGGCAGAACAGCGCUAAUAUAAACACCGACAUUAAACCAUAUUGGCUAUGGAAGAGGCUUUGAUUGUCAUUGAGAUUAUUUUAAAAGUUAUUUAGGCCCCCCUGUUCCAUCUCUGCAAACCACUGAGAAAACGUUGCGCCGGGUUUCUCUUUGCGACAUUUCUUUGGGGAUUCAUAAAUAUUGAUUGUACCGUAAAAAAAUUGAUGGAAUCUUGAAACAGACUGCAGUUGAGGCAGCUGGGGAAUUUACUCAAUUUUUCUCAAUCGCUGCAGUCUAUAAAAAGAGGAGAUUUUGCAAA